rnacentral:misc_RNA from 1 species
GUAAUGGAAAAUGCGGUUUGAGAGAGUGAAGAUCAGCAAACAUAGUUUGAAUGACCGAUUAGUAGAUUAUUCCGGAUUUGAUUAUGUAAAAUUUUCCACACUCGGGUUUCAUACGCAACUUAGUAUCAUCGGGAAAGUUUCAAUGAGAUCCCAGCGAUUCUCCAAGAAACAUAAUUAAAGAUAACACCAAGAAAAAUAAUUUAAAAAGAAAAAGUAUGAGAUUGUUUCGAAAGAACUGUGUACACCGACGAGUGCGUGGGUCUUCCUGCUUUUAUUUGACGUCGAGUCGCAGAUGUUCGUGUGAUCCCCAAAAAGAGAUGAGAUAAUUACACGUUUUCAGACUCACUCGUGAACGACCGUGAGAUGCGAGAGGGCCUAGCGAUCGGAUUCCAUGCAGUUACUUUUCUGCAAUACGCUUUUGCGGUUUUUUACGAUUACAUGUAUACGAUCGUGCCGCACGAUGUUAGGAGUGUGCACAACGCCUACGGUGGGAAGUUCAAGUUCCUAACGUUCUGGGAUGCGAUUCUGCAAACGAUAUUCUUCUUGAUAUGUCUUCUAAACGAUUUAUUCGGCACAAAUGCUAUAAACCCCAAGAAGUCGCCUUUCACGCGGAAGUUGAAAGAUUACUUCUAUGCGAGUCUCGGGUUUCCGGUUGCUAUGUUCGUCGGCGUGACUUUCUGGGUGUUAAUGUUCGUGGAUCGUGAACUGGUAUUGCCGAAAGCACUGGAUCCGUACUUCCCAUGGUGGUUGAACCACUUAAUGCAUACAAUGAUCAUGGUGACGAUAAUGUUAGAAACGAUAUUCGUGUCACGGCAAUAUCCUAAGCGAUCUCGCAGCCUCGGAAUACUCAUUAGCUUUAUGCUCACGUACUUAGUCUGGGUACACGUAAUCUACUAUAAAAGCGGCGUCUGGGUGUACCCCGUGAUGGACGUGCUGACGCUGCCACUACGGAUUGUGUUCUUCGUCGUGCUACUGGCGUUUUGCGUAAUCCUAUACUUCGUCGGAGAGACUCUGAACAACAUCAUCUGGGGUAACGAAUACACAAAGCAUAAAAAAUCUCACGCCAAAUCCAAGUAGCCUCGCCCAAGCGUUCCUAACGGGUGAUAAAAACCACAUCUGCCUGCUGCCUGCGGUGUUGGAAAAAAAUACAUAGCGGUAACGGAGAGCGUGGAGCCAGAUUUGAAAACGUAGGAAACGGCAGAUGGACGAGAGGG